AUUAUAGAGCAUCACUAAGGAUAAGAUUUGGUUGCAAAGAAGUCAUUUCGAGUGGUUGGUCAGUUUGUCCAGGAAAGAGUUCAAGCAGCGAAACCUUUAUGGCCAAGGUGGAAACCUACAAAGGUAAAACAUGUCAUUAACCUAAGGACUUUGAUUAUAGAAGACAAACAAGGAAAAGACAGAAUUGUCAGCAUUGAUAACUUAAAACCAGCUUCUAAAUUUGAGUUAGAAGAUGACAAACCCUCUGACUUACUCUCAGUGGGUUACUCUGAAUGAAGCAAACCGGAUUAAUAAUCAAUUUCAAAUGAUGCCAUUUUCUUCAAAUCCAGAGACUAUAACACCUUUUUUUAUUAUGAUGUUGAAGAAGGUGAUCAAAUAACUGAAGUAGAUUCAUUUGAUACACCAACACCAGUUACAAGAUCUAAUCCUGUUUUACCUAUCAUAAAUACUAUGCUAUCAGCACGAACACUGAUACAACAACAAGGACUAAAAAUGUUAAAGAACUUGUUCAGUUAUAAAAACCUUAAAAUAUUGAGAUAUACAGUACUGAUACUUUUUAUACUUCUCCUUAUCUUGAUAUCAACCUGCAUGGUAGUUUUUCGUCUACAGUGGAAUAAUCUUGCAAAGAGACCUGGAGCUGUUCUGGCAUGGAAUCAAACAAAAGCUCAAGAGGAUGCUGUACCAAUGAUAUCAAGACUAAAAAGAGCUGAACAUUACAAUCUGCAACCUGUAGAAAUAAAGAUGAAUGAGCUACUGCAAGGAAUUUAUUGGAAACCAUUUCCAAAACCUAUAAUACAAAAACAAAAGGUAUUAGGAAUAUCUCAAGUCGUAUUGAUAGAUUCAACAGUAAUAUCAAAGAAAGCAAAGAUCACAACUCAAAUGGGAAGAAAAUUGGUAAAAGAUCACAUAAAUGGGCAAAUGGAAAUGAUACAAGCAAAGACUUAGGAAUAUGGUUUGCCUUUGCAAGAAUACUGGAAACAAAAGACAUACAGAGAAAAAAAUGUGUUUUUCAACAUUUGCACAUUGCUAUUAUGUGGACUUUCAAGGGACAAGGAGAUGGCCUGCAAAUGAAAUAAAAGCAGAUCAAUGUCCACGUCCUGGGAUUACAAUUGACAAAGUCAAGUAUAAAGAAUAUCCUAUUUUUUAUCUAAACACAGGAUAAUUAACUCAAAAAGGCUUCUUUCCUGAAAAUCACACAGAUCCUCGCAUUGCAUUCUGGGAAAACGCAGAGUAGGAGGAAUACAGGUUUCCUGGAGGAGUAAAAUCAUAUAAUGGAGCAGUGUUUUGUACUAACACACUUUAUUCAGAAUGGUGGACACCAGAGUUACAUACAGAUGAAGGAUACCUGCAACUAUUUGAGAAACUUCAGCUUGAAGUAGUGGAUCAACAGACUGGAAGACUGCGAGAGCAAGCAUUACCUACAGAAUGGAAUAAGAAAGGAAAGGAUGAAAUGUUUUAAUCUAAAAGAAUGGGAUACAUGUACAAAGCCAAGAUAUGCAGCUUUCUUAAAUACAAUGUAUUACAGUCACUCAUGCAAAGAAAAGAACAAUCUUUGUAAUAUAACAGUUGAAGAGCUAAUUAAAAAGGGCAUUUGUGACUUGGAAACAAACUAUCAAUGUACAUCCUGUUGUUUCUACCUUAAGGAAUCAAGGACAUAUUUUGUUUUUAACCUAAAGACAUUGAUAAGGGGUUCCUACAUUAUGUAGGCAUAGCUGGGUUUUGGUGCGUGACAAAACAUCACAUUAUUAACAAAAAUUAUGUAAUAUUCCCUGUUUCAGAAAUGUCUCAUAGAUAAAAUAUCCAGUAAAUGUAGUAAUUGCAAGUAUGAAACUACAAAUGGAUGUAAAUAUAUCAGUUGAUGACAUACCAUGUAAAUAUGCUAAAUGUUAUAAGCAAAAUGUGACAGAUAUGACUUAUGAUGAAGCUGUUUGGGGAACAAAUAAUAUAUUUGAUAAUGUAACAUAUAUUACAAUAGAGAAUACAAUUCCAGAUGAUUGUAAUACAGAAGAAAAAACAAAUAAAAGGCAGUUAAUGUCUAAUGCUGAAGUUCAGAUAUUGACAGGGCAUUUAUUAAGUGAUGCAGUAUUAAUUGUCAGUGAAAUUUCAGAUAUUAAUGAUGAAGACGUAAAAAGAGGAUUGAUGAUCUUAAGAGAUCACAUGAUAACAGCUAUAAGGUUAACUUUACAAGAAGGACACAUUGAUAUUACAUUAUUAAAUGUUACAGAAAUUUCUACACAAUUAAGUCUAACGGUAAAACAAACAGAAAUUAUGCUGCAUAUUUCAAAAUCAAUGAUUUAUAAGAGAAUUAAAGCAUAGAAUAACAAAUAACCCAGAAGAUUGUGUAUGGGAAAUAUAUAUAUAUAUAUUAUGAGAUAAUAAUACCUGGAAAUGUAUACACAACAAAUUGGGAAAUUGUUAAUUUUGGGCAUUUAAUUACUUCUCCUGAUCAUAUGGCAUUGUUACAAAUUCAACAAUCAUAUCAAUAUAUUUCACAGUAUUGUGAUAGCUGGGAAUAUAUUGAAACAGAAAAUUGUGUUGUUCUAGGAUAUUUAGUAUGUGAAAAUGUCUACAAACGAAAACCAUGUGGUGUUGAUAAACAAGACUCUGAUUGCACAGUUAAAAUUACGCCUGUAAAAUCACCAUACACUCACAUAAAACCAAUUCAUAAUGGGUCAUAUGUUGUGAUUACUAAUCAAAAUGAUUGUAAUAUCUCAAUGUUGCAAGCUACAAUGAUAACAGUUAAUGAAUCUGUGAAGUGUUAUAAUACAAUUUUAACACCACCUGUGAUUAAGAAUAUAAAUGCUAGGUCACAUUUAACAAAUGCAAGUACCCCAUAUUACAUUGCAAAUUCCAUACAUGACAGCAUUCUGGGCUCAUUUACAUAACAUGCAAGUGAGAUUGGGCUCCUCCCAUGAGGCAAUAGAAAAAUUGGUUAAAAGGACACAUGCAGACCUCUUAAGAAUUGACUUGCAUGGAUUAGAACUUUAGGUAAAUCAUUGAUUCCAAUAAUGCCAGCAUUGGGUAAUGUUAUUUCAAAAAUUGGAGAAGGUUUAGCUACAGUGGGGAAUGGUAUCUUUGGAGACAUACUGGGAAUAUGUACUAUGUAUUAAUAGCCAUAGUAUUGUGUAUCAUUUUAUUUAGAAUUUUUGUCCUUUCUUCCUAGGAGAAAAUCUAAGUAAAAAAAAAAAUAAUAAUAAGCAAUUUUUUGUCAACCUGUUUUCUUUUGGAUGAAAUGCCAGAAAAGAAACGGCAAGCUUAUUAUCAUGUUAUGCUAUAAUUCAUAUAUGCUAUAUGUAUAUAUCUUGUUAAGCUAUAAUUUACAUGCCAAUAACAUCUGUAGAAGUAAAGAUUUAUUAUUUUUAUUAUAAAUGUAUUUUUAUUGUAAAUGUAACCAGUAUAAACUUAUUGGUUAGAAACAUUAAUAAUCCUUUAUUUUCACGAAGAAAACCUGUGGAUUACAAUUUAUUAUCUACUUGACUUAAAAAAAAAAAAAAAAAAACCUUGGAUUACAAAUUGUUAUCAGUGUCUCUGCAUUAAAGCAGAAUCAAGAAUGAGGAAUGUGCACGUUUUUUGAAAGUAAUAAACUUACUCCUACGACACUCAUUUUUAUGAGGAUAUUUCUCCAAGCAAGAAAUACCAUGCUAACUGGACAUCUAUACCUCAUCCACUAAUGAAUCAUACACUAAUUAACCAGUUUCUAUCAAAUGGAUAUUUUGGAGAAUUUAUUUACGACGUAUUACUAAAUGGCAAGUCAUCUUCCAAUGAGGAGGGUUACCUAAGGAUUUACAGUUAUUUGACGUUACAAUCUUGUAACUUAUAAAAUGAAUGCUAAUAUGCUUCAACGAAGCUUUAUGGAGAUUUUUUUAUUUGUAUGAAUCCGUCAUACUUACAUUGGCUGGGAUCCAACUGUUUUUCUUGCUGGUGCAGGUGUAAAACGUUUCUGUUCAACUAACAGUUUGCUUCAAACUUCCCAUAACGGAUUACAAACGAAAUGUUGAUUAUCUUGUUCAGUGAAAAGUUUGCUGUAAAAAUUUCCAUAACGGAAUACAAACAUGAUGUUCUGUCUGGCUCAACGCUUCAUGGACUAAUUACAGAUAUACUCCUACUUGAAGAAGUUUAUGAAAAAGUUCAGUUUAAUUCCUGUAUCAUUAAUGUCGGACUUUAUUUUGUUUGCAUUAUUAAGGACACUUUGAUUUCAUGUCCGUUACUCUGCUGAAUCCCGGACAUUAAUGAUGCAUUUCUUUUUCUGUGAGAACGAAGGGAUGGACACUUUCUUAUCUUUUCCUCAAGAAUGUAUUGGAGGGGCUGUAACAGGCUUUCAUUAACCCUGUGAUACACCUGUUCUUGUAAAUUUAAUUUUUAGUUAACAAUGCACAGCUUUGCAAAUAAACUUUGUUUAUAGCAUGCUUGUCUCAAUAAAAGCUGCUAUGUAAUGUUAGAUUGCAAAUUAAUAUUGCUAUUCACUUGAUAACUAUACCAACAGUAAGAAAUACAUUCUUUCAGCAAGACACUUAUAACUAACUAUAAAUGAUAGAUUUCUUUUAAAUCUAUCAUGUACAGCUUCUAUACAUAAAGACUGUACCUUGUUAUAAGAGCCUGUUCACAUAAAUUGUGAGAAAUAUAAUCUUUAAUAUGCUUAUUUUGCAAUAUAUAAAGUAUAUGACUAUAUUCAAAUAUAUGUUACUUCUACAAUGUGUACAAUGUAUAACUGUAUCCUUUUAUAUGUUUAAACAAAAGUCUUUUACAAUAUAAAAGGUUUUUAUUAUCUGUCUGCUAACAUACUAACCAAAUAACUAGUUUUAACAUAAGAUGUUAUAUGAUCUAAAAUGGAGGUUUAUUCAGCCUUGAAUUUAUAGCUCUAAAAUGGAUGCUCCUUGCAAUUUAAAGUGCGUAUGUCUAAACUCUUGUAUAACAGAUUAUCGGGGCCACAUAGUUGAAGAUAGAAAAAGCUAGACAAGUUUUGUUGAUGUUAAAAUGAUGCUAAAAAUACAUAUAAAAAGAAAACAAUAAAUGAUGACGUCAUCCAAAUAAAAAACUAUAAAAACACCUUGUUGUAAACAUAAGGAGGUGACUCUGACAGGAUGUUAUAGAGCAUCACUAAGGAUAAGAUUUGGUUGCAAAGAAGUCAUUUCGAGUGGUAUGUAACAAUUGUUAUUGAAAGCAAGUUUAACUAAGUCUUUUAACUCUGUGUGUAUAUUGGAUUUAAAUUAAUUUAAUUUUAUAUUACUUCUGUAAGCUGAUUUUUCUGUAUAAUAAAAAUUUAUUUUUAAACAA